CACGAACGCUGGCGGCAGGCUUAACACAUGCAAGUCGAGCGGAGAUGAGGUGCUUGCACCUUAUCUUAGCGGCGGACGGGUGAGUAAUGCUUAGGAAUCUGCCUAUUAGUGGGGGACAACAUUCCGAAAGGAAUGCUAAUACCGCAUACGUCCUACGGGAGAAAGCAGGGGAUCUUCGGACCUUGCGCUAAUAGAUGAGCCUAAGUCGGAUUAGCUAGUUGGUGGGGUAAAGGCCUACCAAGGCGACGAUCUGUAGCGGGUCUGAGAGGAUGAUCCGCAACACUGGGACUGAGAAACGGCCCAGACUCCUACGGGAGGCAGCAGUGGGGAAUAUUGGACAAUGGGGGGAACCCUGAUCCAGCCAUGCCGCGUGUGUGAAGAAGGCCUUAUGGUUGUAAAGCACUUUAAGCGAGGAGGAGGCUACUGAGACUAAUACUCUUGGAUAGUGGACGUUACUCGCAGAAUAAGCACCGGCUAACUCUGUGCCAGCAGCCGCCGUAACAC
rnacentral:rRNA from 1 species